AGUCGUUGAUCUGUUGGAGAUGCUUUGUUUUGAAAGCAAAGUUAAGGUGUUCGAUUCACUUAGCGGUUU
rnacentral:tRNA from 1 species